rnacentral:sRNA from 1 species
GUAACAAGGUUUCCGUAGGUGAACCUGCGGAAGGAUCAUUGUCGAAACCUGCAUAGCAGAGCCACCUGUGCACUUUUUUUCAACCCCUCCUUUCCGUGCGGUUGGUCGGUAGCCUCGUGCUUCCUCCACCCCACGGGAUGAACAAUUUCCGGCGCGGGUUGCGCCAAGGAUCAUGAACGUUCGGUCUUGCCUCUCUGCACCGUCAGGCUGCGUUGAGGCAUCCCAUCGUUGAAAAUUAUCAAUCGAAUGACUCUCGGCAACGGAUAUCUCGGCUCUCGCAUCGAUGAAGAACGUAGCGAAAUGCGAUACUUGGUGUGAAUUGCAGAAUCCCGUGAACCAUCGAGUCUUUGAACGCAAGUUGCGCCCGAAGCCUUCCGGCCAAGGGCACGUCUGCCUGGGCGUCACGCAUCGCGUCGCCCCCCACCUCCCAAUUUGGAUGCGUGCGGGGCGGAGAGUGGCCUCCCGUGUGCCUCUUUGCCCACACGGAUGGCCGAAACAAGGAGCUCGCGGCGGUGAGCGCCGUGACAAUCGGUGGUUGGAUGGGCACUUGUCCUACGAAGCAUCUUGUCACGAAGCGCCACCUUGUGUUGCUCGGAGGACUCGAAUCGGUCGAUGUUAUUGCGAUCUGAUCGCCUCUCAUCGAUCACCAUUGCGACCCCAGGUCAGGCGGGACUACCCGCUGAGUUUAAGCAUAUC